GGGCGUGUAGCUCAGCUGGUUAGAGCACGAAGCUUAUACCUUCGGGGUCCCUGGUUCGAGUCCAGGCACGCCCACCA
rnacentral:tRNA from 1 species